CACAAAGGAAAAAAAAAAAGAAAAGAGGCUUGUUGGGCUGGACAGGCCAGGCCUAAGCCCAUAUCUCUCCUAAGCUUUCAAGCAAAAACCCUACCUCUACACUUCUACUCUCCAGAUCGACACCCCCAUCUCCAGCUCGUUCCCUUCCUCCCUCCCUACUUGCUCCCAUGUCUUCCCUGCUCUAAUCCCCUCUAUUGGCGGCAAAUCCAUGGGAGAAACCAGCAAAAUGGAACGAGGACAACAAGAGGAGCAAGAAGACGGGCAUCUUCGAGGUGGAUUGGUCCUUCCCCCUCUCUUCCCGCUGCCCUAGGAUUUGGGGAAGACCAAGGUGGUAAUGAUUCGUAUGGCGCCUAAAGUGGUCAUCCCUUCAUUGGAGGCAAGUAAACGUAGGGGUGAUUUGCUACAAGCUAAUACUAUGUACUUGAGUAACUUUUCUUGAAGGGUGGGAAAGUAUAGUAGCAGCACAC